CUCUUCAAAUUCGAUAGGUGUCUUACAUCGAGUUCAGCUGUUGAUAACGCUGAUGACGUCAUGCUACAUGGGCAAAACAUCAUUCAGUGAUCGAGAAGGACGCCAGAAUCAGAGUGGUAAAUCGAGGAUUUAUUCAACAUGUGCCCUAGUUAGAACGUUUGGGUGGUCAAUCGGUGCCAAAACCAAUCGACCGUUUGAAUUUCUUUCCACUGUUUUCCUUCUCAUGUACCUGUUCACACAUUUACGAGUCCUUGGCCCGGCCUUGAUCCAUUUAUCAAUCGUGAGACGCCACGGUACUACUCUUUACUUUACGGUUGCUCAAGCAGUAGAGUGACCCACAUCCCUGCCGUGAACACGGCUUGAGCUCGUCAAGCAAGUGGUGGAUGGAUUACUUUACCUCAUACAAAGACAGAUUCAAUUUAGAUCAGAUCAGAGGCAACUGCAUCAUCCGCCCCUACAGAUUCUUGGCCGCUUAUUACUUGUGGUCAUAGCCGUCAUUCCGCCCUUGGCCGACACAUACGGCCAUGAUCGAUCCUCUGCACUUUGAGGCCCACGCUUCAAGACAAUCCAGCCCCUUAUUGCCGUUCUCCCGCCCGUUUCCCACCCACCAGUGUUGUCCAUGAAAACGAAAGCUUAGAGACCGGGUCUAGCUCUUCGACUGACUCACUCGAUUGGCGGUUGCUUGGCUUUAAUGGUCCAUAAAUCGUUCCCACCGGCCCUGGAUUGACUGGAUGGUUUCAACCAAUACUAUUGAAAACACGCCAAGCAACUCUCCACGAAACGUGGAUCAAGAAUAGCCUUCAUGUCAAUGGCAUCAUGACCCAGGCCAUGGAUUUUCAUUGCCCUCCACCAACUCCACAUUAACCGAAGUCGUCAAUAGCUUUUACUACUGUUUGACUAUAUUUCACCCAGCCAACUAUAUUUUGUUAAUGAUUUAUCAACAAGUCAAGGAUGCGGGACCUUCCCAGCGCUCAUCUUCGUCUAUGGCCUUCGCUUAUGGCGUCCCAGCUCCCCCAGCUCAUCCUGAAAGUGGCCAAUGACUAUCUUUUCAAAUUACUCAGGACAUACCUCUAGGGGUUCAAGUAUGCCAAUAAUGCAUGGAUGCAUUUCAUGAGCAAAUUUGAGCCCCUUGCCAUUGACUGAACAAUUGUUGGAAACCUGACCUUUUUGGAUGCAAUUUCCGGACAAACCAUGCUCUUCCAGGUCAACAAUGUGGCAUCAUAUCAUUGUCCUGGGACCAACAUUUCUUUGGAAUAUUGACGGUCGCACCCAAUUGUCCGGCCACAAGAUUGGCAAUCUGUCCAAUCGAGCCAUCCUCUACUCUACAACUAUCAAAAUUUCCAUCACUAUUCCUCUUCAAUAGCGUUUAUCUUACUUCAUCCUGAAAAUUGAGCUGAUUGUUGUCAAUGUCAUCUGUAUUUUCACCUGGUUAUCAAUAUACAUAUCAAUUAAACCCUG